rnacentral:rRNA from 1 species
GAUGGACGCUGGCGGCGUGCCUAAUACAUGCAUGUCGAGCGAACAGAUGAGGAGCUUGCUCCUCUGACGUUAGCGGAGGACGGGUGAGUAACACGUGGAUAACCUACCUAUAAGACUGGGAUAACUUCGAGAAACCGGAGCUAAUACCGGAUAAUAUAUUGAACCGCAUGGUUCAAUAGUGAAAGACGGUUUUGCUGUCUCUUAUAGAUGGAUCCGCGCCGCAUUAGCUAGUUGGUAAGGUAACGGCUUAUCAAGGCAACGAUGCGUAGCCGACCGGAGAGGGUGGUCGGCCACCCUGGAACUUAGCCACGGUCCAGACUCCUACGGGAGGCAGCAGUAGGGAAUCUUCCGCAAUGGGCGAAAGCCUUGCGGAGCAACGCCGCGUGAGUUAUGACGGUCUUCCGAUCGUAAAACUCUGUUAUUAGGGAAGAACAAAUGUGUAAGUAACUAUGCCCGUCUUGACGGUACCUAAUCAGAAAGCCACGGCUAACUACGUG